CUACGGGCUGCUCCAGGCGCGAAACCUUUACAAUGUACGUAAGUGCGAUAAGGGAACUCCCAGUGCUCAUGUAAUGCAUGGGCUUUUGUUAAGUGUAAAUAGCUUGGCGAAUAAGUGGUGGGUAAGACGGGUGCCAGCCGCCGCGGUAACACCUGCGCCGCGAGUGGCAUUCACGUUUACUGGGCCUAAAGCGUUCGUAGCCGGAUAGAUAAGUCUUAAGUGAAAUCGGUGCGCUUAACAAAACGACGUGCUUGAGAUACUGUUUAUCUAGGGACCGGGAGGAGUUAGGGGCAUUCCAGAGGGAGCGGUAAAAUGCUGUAAUCUCUGGAGGACCACCUGUGGCGAAGGCGCCUAACUAGAACGGGUCCGACGGUGAGGAACGAAAGCCAGGGGAGCAAAACGGAUUAGAUACCCUGGUAGUC
rnacentral:rRNA from 1 species